rnacentral:lncRNA from 1 species
ACACCGAGGCCCCGCCUCCCACGUGCGGGCGCUCCUCUCCUAGAGCUCACUGGUCUUUCCAGAAGUCCUCAAGUUUCAUGCGACCAGCAGUGAACUUUACUGGGUAGGGGUGGGAAGCCGGUGGCUCCGGACAGUCGUGAUAACCCGGCACAGAAGCAGAGUCGCAUUUCGGAGCGUCCACUCGUAACGCGGCUUCUCGCACACGGAGCCCGUAGUCCAGGGGAGAGGAGGCCAGGGAGGCCCUGGAGAGGUUGUAGGUUCUUUCAUCAUUUCCUUCCCAGCAUGCACUUGUACAUGCUGUACACUCCACUCUCUUCAUUACCACAACAGGACUACAAAAUCUUUAGAGGAUGAACAGCCAAACAAGGUGACUUACCGCCUGCCAGGAGAGCUUAUUAAAGGAUUUCAUUUCUUGGGCAUCCAGGUUGGGACAUCUUCUGGAUAUAUGCCCAGGAGAGGUGUUGCUGGAUCCUCCAGUAGUACUAUGUCCAAUUUUCUGAAGAACCGCCAGACUGAUUUCCAGAGUGGUUGUACAAGCUUGCAAUCCCACCAACAAUUUAGGAGCGUUCCUCUUUCUCCACACCCUCGCCAGCAUCUACUGUCACCUGAAUUUUUGAUCUUAGCCAUUCUGAAUGGUGUGAGGUGUAAUCUCAGGGUUGUUUUGAUUUGCAUUUCCCUGAUGACUAAGGAUGUUGAACAUUUUUUCAGGUGCUUCUCUGCCAUUCAAUAUUCCUCAGGGAGGAGUCAAAACAAACAAACCAACAAAAACUCAUGUUACCUUGCAAAAGAUGACAAUCUUUUGAAAGUCAAAAUUCCUAAGCCAGUGACCAUUGGAGAAGCCUGGCUGGCAUUUUGUUGAGUAUUGUGUCCUGAGUCUCUAACCUGCCACCCUCUGAACUGAGACCUCAGCUGCAGGAGCUGAAAAGGAAGAAGAAGGAUGACUCGGAAGCAGGGCUGUGGAGAAGCACCUCAGCAGGCAGAGAACAUGUUUUGAUCGCAUGCUGCUCUGUGUCCUGGAGCCUUUGCAAACCAACUCAGCACUACAGAAAAACAAGUCUACCAAUGAAAUGCUUUAAAAGCUGUGAUGGCAAGCUGGGUACAAUGUCUCAUACUUGCACUUGGGAAGCUGACACAGGAGGACUGCUGAAAUUCUGAGACCAACUUGGGCUAUAAGUGAGACUGUCUCAAAAAACAAAAACAAACAAACAAAACCAAAACUAGAAAGAAAAAGAAUAACAUGAUGUCCUGGUGUCAGUGGCUCUUGGAUCACUCUAGUUUUCUCUACUCUGACUGUAUCAACAAACUAAUUCCUUAGAACCACCAUGUGGCGAUGUAACUUGCAGGUGCCUCAGAAAUGACUACUGUCUGGCAUCCUGGUCCAGGUUUUGCUUUCUUUCAUGACUGCACAUGCUUUCCUUCUUAAUGCUUUGGCUUUGCCUACUUACUAGAAGUGUUCAAUGGUACACAGAUGCUUUCUCUGUACUGUCUAUUCUCACUCGGUCUAAUUCCUCAUUUGAUGUCACUGUCCUCUCCAGACACUAAUGCCACAGAGAGUUGAUAUAGGCAGAGUUCAUCUGUGGAAGAUCCUUUCCCUAGCCUGGGUGUUGCCAAGGAUUUUUUAGGAAAAGCCUUUCAAAUGUUAGAGGCCCGGAGUUUUAGCAUGAGAGUCUUGUCAAAUAAUCUCAAUAAAGAGAAUCGUUGUCCC